AUACGAGGGGUGCAAGCGUUAAUCGGAAUUACUGGGCGUAAAGCGUUCGUAGGCGGUUUGUUAAGCAAGAUGUGAAAGCCCUGGGCUCAACCUGGGAACUGCAUUUUGAACUGGCAAGCUAGAAUACUGUAGAGGGUGGUGGAAUUUCCAGUGUAGCGGUGAAAUGCGUAGAGAUUGGAAGGAACAUCAGUGGCGAAGGCGGCCACCUGGACAGAUAUUGACGCUGAGGAACGAAAGCGUGGGGAGCAAACAGGAUUAGAAACCCCGGUAGUCC
rnacentral:rRNA from 1 species